GACGAACGCUGGCGGCGUGCUUAACACAUGCAAGUCGAACGGAGUGGCGAACGGGUGAGUAACACGUGGGUGACCUGCCCUGCACUUCGGGAUAAGCCUGGGAAACUGGGUCUAAUACCGGAUAGUGUGGGAUGGGCCCGCGGCCUAUGAGCUUGUUGGUGGGGUAAUGGCCUACCAAGGCGGCGACGGGUACCCGGCCUGGGAUGGUGGACGGCCACAUGGGGACGGAGGCACGGAGCAGAGUCGUACGGGAGGCAGCAGUGGGGAGUAUUGCGCAAUGGGGGGAAGUCUAAUGCGACGACGCCGGGUGGGGGAUGAAGGCCUUCGGGUUGUAAACUCCUUACACCAUCGACGCGGUAGAUGGAGAAGAAGCACCGGCUAACUACGUGCCAGCAGCCGCGGUAAUAC
rnacentral:rRNA from 1 species